AACGAACGCUGGCGGCAGGCUUAUCACAUGCAAGUCGAACGCAUCCUUCGGGGUGAGUGGCAGACGGGUGAGUAACGCGUGGGAACGUGCCCUUCAGUUCGGAAUAACCCAGGGAAACUUGGGCUAAUACCGGAUACGUGCGAGAGCAGAAAGAUUUAUCGCUGAAGGAUCGGCCCGCGUCUGAUUAGCUAGUUGGUGGGGGAAUGGCCCACCAAGGCGACGAUCAGUAGCUGGUCUGAGAGGAUGAUCAGCCACAUUGGGACUGAGACACGGCCCGAACUCCUACGGGAGGCAGCAGUGGGGAAUAUUGGACAAUGGGCGCAAGCCUGAUCCAGCCAGGCCGCGUGAGUGAUGACGGCCUUAGGGUUGUAAAGCUCUUUCGUCCGGGACGAUAAUGACGGUACCGGAAGAAGAAGCCCCGGCUAACUUCGUGCCAGCCGCCGCAGUAA
rnacentral:rRNA from 1 species